rnacentral:rRNA from 2 species
ACGGAAGCAGCAGUGGGGAAUAUUGCACAAUGGGGGAAACCCUGAUGCAGCGACGCCGCGUGAGUGAAGAAGUAUUUCGGUAUGUAAAGCUCUAUCAGCAGGGAAGAAAAUGACGGUACCUGACUAAGAAGCCCCGGCUAACUACGUGCCAGCAGCCGCGGUAAUACGUAGGGGGCAAGCGUUAUCCGGAUUUACUGGGUGUAAAGGGAGCGUAGACGGCGAUGCAAGUCUGAUGUGAAAGCCCGGGGCUCAACCCCGGCACUGCAUUGGAAACUGUGUUGCUAGAGUGCAGGAGAGGUAAGUGGAAUUCCUAGUGUAGCGGUGAAAUGCGUAGAUAUUAGGAGGAACACCAGUGGCGAAGGCGGCUUACUGGACUGUAACUGACGUUGAGGCUCGAAAGCGUGGGGAGCAAACAGGAUUAGAUACCCUGGUA